rnacentral:rRNA from 1 species
CCUACGGGACGCAGCAGUGAGGAAUAUUGGUCAAUGGGCGCGAGCCUGAACCAGCCAAGUCGCGUGAAGGACGACGGUGCCAAGGAUUGUAAACUUCUUUUGUCGGGGGGCAAAAGCAGCCACGCGUGGCGGUCCGAGAGUACUCGAAGAAAAAGCAUCGGCUAACUCCGUGCCAGCAGCCGCGGUAAUACGGAGGAUGCGAGCGUUAUCCGGAUUUAUUGGGUUUAAAGGGUGCGCAGGCGG